rnacentral:lncRNA from 1 species
UCUCCGAUGCAGAGUUCUCCUAUCUACUACGGGCCCUAUGCGAGAUGUACAAGAACCGGACGUUCAAGACAUACCUUGGCUUUUCACCUUUCGUGAUUAUACAAAACCCCGAAGACGCCGAGGUCCUUCUGUCGAGCUCGGAGAACCUGAGGAAGCCUUUGUUCUACACUUUCACCAUACCGUGGUUGGGGCCGAGAAAUAUGCUUUAUAUCGCAGGCAACGUGUGGCGUUUCAAACGGAAGCUGCAGAUGCCUGCAUUUCACUCAAAG